UGUGAGUUCAAGACCAGCCUGGUCUACAAAGCAAGUCCCAGGACUGUUUCCCAGAAACCCUGUCUCAAAAAAGAGGGAGGGUGGAUUUUUACAACAUUUUUAAAUUAAUAUUAAGGUUGUUUUCAAAAUAUGUUCUUAAGAACUUGAUCAACAUUUUAGUAUUCUUAUAUAUUUGAAUUUUAACAGAAAGGUUUCCUCUCUUUUAUAGCGGAGAGGAAGCCUCCUUUAUUUAAUAUGAAUGCAAUGAGUGCCUUAUAUCACAUAGCCCAAAAUGAAUCCCCUACACUACAGUCUAAUGAAUGUCUGCAGAGUGAGUUCCAGGACUACAUGGAAAAGAAUUGUCUUCGAAAACAAAACAAAACAAAACAACAACAA
rnacentral:lncRNA from 1 species